AAGAGACAGCAGCAGCCACGGGAAUACGAAGGGGGCUAGCGUUGCUCGGAAUGACUGGGCGUAAAGGGCGCGUAGGCGGAUUGUUUAGUUAGGCGUGAAAUUCCUGGGCUUAACCUGGGGACUGCGCUUAAUACAGGCAGUCUAGAGUGAGGAAGAGGGUUGUGGAAUUCCCAGUGUAGAGGUGAAAUUCGUAGAUAUUCGGAAGAACACCAGUGGCGAAGGCGACAUACUGGUCCAUUACUGACGCUGAGGCUCGAAAACGUGGGGAGCAAACAGGAUUAGAUACCCCUGUAGUCCCUGUCUCUUAUAC
rnacentral:rRNA from 1 species